CCGUGUAAGUGGUGGAGGCCGGGCACAAAAGACCACAUGUCCUGUGCUUCUAGCGCUAUGUGUGUGGAACGCGGCGGGCCGCGCCGGCAGGAGGUGGCGUGUGGGCGAUGGGGGCAGGGGCGAGUCACUGCUCAUGGGUACGGGGUGUCCUCCUGGACUGAUGGAGACGUUCUGCAAGGGGUGUGAUGGCUGCAGGCUCUGCGAGAGCCCCCACGCCACUGAAUGGUGCGCUUUACGUGGGUGAAGCAUAUAGCCCGUGAAUUGCAUGCAGUGGGUGCCAGGCUAGCGUGUGGGGCCGUCAGAAGCCCUCUGGAUGUGGGCGCUGCCAGGUAGCGGGCACCAGCGAUGCAUCGGGCCCUGUGUCAUCACCCUCGUGUUACAGACAAGGAAAUCCUUUCCCCAAGAGGCUUGGUCCUCUGUCUGAUGAUGAGGGGGACCGAAGCCCACUCCCUUGUGGCAUGAGCCGUGGGAGGGAGGGGCACCGCCAGAUCUGCGGGCUCACCACCAGACCCCUCUCCAGGCCGCUCUUGCUGGGGGCCCGUCUCCCGCCCACCCCACCGUGGGCCACCCUGGCUGCCCUUGCGCCCCUCUCCGCUGCACCCUCUCCUUCACUCUGGCUUGGUUAUCACAGUUUGCCUUCCCCCACGUGUCCCUGGGUCCUUGACACUCCCAGGCCCCUGCUCUUGGGGCUUCAAUGACAGAGGUCCCAGCACAAGCCUACACUGACUCCCUCCCCAUCAGGUGCUGCUCGCUGCCCUGGGCUCAGCCUCUGGAGCAACGCAGCUCCUUAACCCUGCAGGCUGGCCGUUCGUGGCCUCCACACCCCCCUGCUGUGUCCUGUGGCCUCCUUUCCGCCUGCAGUCUGCCGGCACCCAGCCCUCCCCCAUGGGUCCCUGCUUCUUGCUGCAUGGCCCAGAUGUGGAGAAAGACAGUCACAUGACACCUGGGCCUCCUCACUGCUCCCAUACCCUUCUCUAGGCUGGGCCCAGGCCUCCCUCCUCUCCCACUCUUCUGAGCUCCCGCCCCCCAGGCCUGCCUCACGCAUGUCCAGUGGCUCCAGCACACUUCUCCAAGGCACACGGAUGGCUUUCCAGCCCACUGGCUGCUUGUCACGCCCCUGGGAACUUAGCACUGGCCAGACCGGUCCCCUCGAUCCUCAGGUCUCCCAAGUGUGCAGCCUCUUAGUUUCUCCGAUUGCCUGGGCCUGGCUGACCCCAGGGCCUUUGCACUUGCUGCUGCUUCAGGCUUGCAUGCCUUCUCUCACUUCCUCCCCACACCGCUUAGAUGCUGCCUAAGACUGAGGCCACCAGCUUACCCUGCGUAAGUGGAGAAUCAGUCCCUACUCAUGCUCUGCUUUUCCCCUGCAGCACAGGCCUGACCUGAUGUGGUCUCUCUCCUUCUGUGGGGAUACACGUCCCUGAGGGCGGGGGGUUUGUCUGUUUUGCUCACCGUUGCAUCCCAGCAAACAUGGAUACCCCAAGAAGGAUGGCCCAGGAGUGAGAGCAGGAUGAGAAGCCAGGCCUGGGUGUCGUGCCAGCAAGGGUCUUGGGUGGGGGGUUCACAGCCCAAUACCUUGCACUUGGGGCCCUUCUACUCCCCCUCAGCCCUGUGAGCAGCGCGACCAUCCUCCAGCUGCCGCAUCGCUGCCCUGCCCCCUCUGUGAUGUCAUGGGGGCUGUGUGAUGUCACAGCAGACAGGGCGGGCCUGCCGUGUGAUGUCACAGCAGACAGGGCGGGCCUGCUGCUGGUGGGAGCAGUGGAGGGCGGAGGUGCCGGUUUCUUAUUUGAUCCGAAGUUGUCCACUUGGAAGUGUAAUAGGACCGCGCGGCUGAGGGGGCUGGGCUGAGGGCAUGGUUGUCAGGUUCCCUUGAACCCCCCUCAUCUGUCCUUUGACCGCUACAAUGAGAUACGCACCAGAAUUCAAAAAAUCCCCCUCGCACCUCCUGAAGAAAUUUGCAGUGUGCCUUAGAGACGCCUGAGCCGGAGAUAUUCGGCGUCCGAAACACGUCCAGCUGGUUUACCGGGCCCACGGGUCAAAGACGUGUCCCUGUGACAUGCCAAACGGAUGCUUCCAUCUCAGGGUGUUUCUUGCAAGAAUGACUUUCUCUUGAAGAGAACACGUUUCGUAGCAGGAAAGCCCACCUCUCCCAAUCUGGGUGCCCCGGGGUCUGCGGUCAGACACUCGGACUGGGCAUGGGGAACCAGGGCAGUGGCUCCCGUGAGGCUGGCCGUCCGAGUGCACGCGCUCACCGCGUGCAGCCACAGACAGCCACACGGGGGGCGCCCUGCACGGGUGAGGUGGGAGGGGCCGUUCCCAUCGUGCAUACUUGCGUGUGACUCGACUUUCCUUCUCAAGGGAGCUUGUCUGCAUGCCUUUUGUGAUAAGACAUAAGAAAAUGGAAGGAAAAGAAAUUUGGUGUCUCUUUUUUUUUGUUUAUUUGGCUUGGAGCCUGGACUGACUGGGGAGGAUUCUGGGCUGGCCAAGCUUCCAUGAGACACAGUUUUCCUGUCGCUCGGCAGGAAUCCACCGAGGAUGGAGCCGGGGCUCACUUGCUCUGGACGCCCUUCCUGGGGCUGGUCUGUGCGGCUCCAUCACACAGGGCAGCUGGGACAGAGGUCAGUGGGUCUGGCUCGAGGCCCCAAGCCAGGCUGUGGGGGGCCCACUGGAGGGGCUGUGGUUUCUCAUGCACAAGGCCCCGGGCAGAGGAGGCAGGUGGCCUGCACCUGGGGGCACUGAACGGGUAGCAGAGAGGGCUGGCCUGGAGUGGCCCCCUCGAGCGUCCUGGCAGAAGCGCCUGCUUGGGGGACGGUGUGUCCUCAGGGCCUGGGAGCGGACAGCCUUCUUGCCUCUGUUUCAGGGCUGUGAGAGCGGUGGCCCCGGUGUGCUGGCGACGGUGAGCGGUGCCCACCGCCUUCUCCGGGUGUGGGCGGGAGCAGGUUGGCCACUCAGGUGUACCAAGCAAAGCCGGGGUCCCACCUGUGCUAACCUGCUUGGGGCAGGAGGUCGUCUUCCUUGUCCUCACUGACCCACAGGAGGGCCUGUUCUCCUGGCUCACGGUGACCCAUCUGCAUUUUGACCAUAAACCAC